UGCAAUUUUAAAAGCCUCAGCCACGUAACCACACCUCGUUUUUCUGUUUAAAGCCGCGUGUAUAUACCUGUAGUACUUCUUCUUAUUACAUCCCCUCUCCAAAAUUCAGAAUCCCUCACCAUCUCAAUUACUUCUCCCCGUAAAUCAGUACCAAGCUCUGUUUCUCUUCUCAAAGCUAUGUCUUUCACCGCCGGUUCCAAAUCCAGUGCUGCCGUGUCUUCCGGAAUCGCCGCCCCCGCCUUAAUUCCUCGUUGCCAAGCUUUCACAGUGGCUUUCCCUCGUUUCUUUCUCUAGUUCGAAGCCGCCUCUCUGCUCAAUGUUUAUCUAGGACCCACUGCCUUUGGGAUUGUGUGUGGACUACCUAGUUCACCAGAUUCCACCACUGCAAUUACAUUCAGAGUUUCUUCUUCCCUUGUGUGCCUCUACUUCGAUUUGGCGAUAAUGAUAAAGAUGGUUCGCCUAUUUAGGCUAAGCAUAAGAGUAAGGCUAGGCGAGGAUUGCAAGUGACUAAGUUUCAACCUGAUGGUCAGGAAGAGUAUCCAAGAUCGAGUCUUUGGGACUAGUGGUAAUUAGAGUUGUCUAAACUUGAUUUAGUUGUAAAAACAUGUAAUAGGAUUUAUUAGUUUUACUUUUCUGAUUUCAAUACUAUAGCCUGUUUGCGAUCCUGUUUUAAAGGGGGUUAAACUUUGUUCUUUUAAAUCUUUUAUUAAAGUUUUUAGGUUUUCAA